rnacentral:SRP_RNA from 1 species
GUGUGCUAGGCGGGGAGGUAGCGGUGUCCUGUAACCCACAAUCCGCUAUAGUGGGGCUGAAUUCCUGCAUGAGAAUAUUGAUUUCUCAAGUUGGAUUGAUAAGUAGUGUUGAGGAUCAAGCCCAACGCAAUUGUGAACUGUGAACUGUGUCAGGUCCGGAAGGAAGCAGCACUAAAGAGUCCUCGCGAUGUGCCGUUGGCUCACUUGAUCUGAGCUGGCUGUUAAUUCCUACUUUAGAAUAGAUACCGAUUGCAGGUGCACAC